CAAUUGGUGUUUUUUAACACCAUCUUCGAUUUUUAUCGAAGAUUUUU
rfam:Trachymyrmex zeteki contig8713, whole genome shotgun sequence.